rnacentral:misc_RNA from 1 species
UCUCCGUUGGCGAACCAGCGGAGGGAUCAUUAUCGAGUUUAUAACUCCCAAACCCUAUGUGAACUUACCACUUGUUGCUUCGGCGCGCGCUUCGGUGCCGCCGAGGACACUUAAACUCUUUGUUUUUAUAAGCAUUUCUGAGUGGCCGAAAGGCAAAAUACAAAUGAAUCAAAACUUUCAACAACGGAUCUCUUGGUUCUG